ensembl:snRNA U6 U6 spliceosomal RNA
GUGCUUGCUUCGGCAGCACAUAUACUGAAAUUGGAUCGCAACAGAGAAGAUUAGUACGGCCCCUGCAUAAGGAUGACACGUAAAUCCACAAAGCACUUCAUAUUAAA